rnacentral:ncRNA from 1 species
AUUAUAGCUAACCGAAAAAAAAUUUUAUUUAUUAAAAAGUAAUUGAUUUUGUUACUACAAUUAUUAUUAAUGAUUAAUAAACAUGUAAAUUUUUGUAUGUAUUUAGUUUUAGUUAAAAACGAGAUUAAAUUUGGUUUUCAGUUUUUAGUAUUAUUAAAUUAAAAAAUUUAAUUAAUAGUAAUUUAUUUUAACACUGACUAAUUUUAGUGCCAGCAGUUGCGGUUAUACUAAUAGUGUAAUUUUAAUUAUUUUGGUUAGGUAUUAAUUUGUUAAAUUUUUUAUAUAUAAAAUAUUUUAUAAAGUGAAAUUUAAAAUUAUAUGUAUAUAAGGGUUAAUUAAAUAUUAAAUUAUAGGUUAGGACUAGGAUUAGAUACCCUAUUACUUAUUUUUAAAUUUAAACCGUAUUAUUAAUAGUUAUAUUCUUUAAAAUAAAUAAAUUUGGCGGUAAUUGUUAAUUGUUUAGAGGAACCUGUUGUAUAAUCGAUAAUCCACGAUUAAUUUUACCUUUAUUUGUUGUUUAUAUACCUCUAUCAUUGAAUAUUUUAUAAGAAUAUUUUCUUUAAUAAUUGUUUUUCAAAAUGUUAGGUCAAGGUUUAGCUUGUAAAGGAAUAAAUGGGUUACAUUAAUUAUAGUUAUGGUGUUAAUUAAGAAUCUAUUUUUAACUAAAUUGGAUUUAAUUGUAAUAUUAAUUAAAUCAUUAAUAUGAAAUUAUUAUAAUUAUGUACAUAUCGCCCGUCAUUCUCAAGUAUUGGGACAAGUCGUAACAAAGUAGACUUACUGGAAAGUAAGUCUGGUUAAAAUUAUA